AUCAAAUUAAACAGACAAGUGAAACUAUGCACACAAAGAAUCAAUGAAUAAUUUAAUCGGGAAAUGAUGCAAGGAUCAAACAAAAUUGAGGUGAAAGGCCUCUAGUACAUGGCAUAUGAGAUGGACAAGGGAGGAUCAAACGAUCUCUUCAAUUGCCUUAAGCAAUCCCUAAGUCAAACAUCAAUCAUACAAAAGUCAACCGAAAAGUCAAGUCAAACUUAAAAAUUAUCAAACAAAU
rnacentral:lncRNA from 1 species